UGGGGAAUAUUGGACAAUGGGGGAAACCCUGAUCCAGCGACGCCGCGUGUGUGAAGAAGGCCUGCGGGUUGUAAAGCACUUUUAGUGGGGAUGAAAAAUUCAGGGCUAAUAUCCCUGGGUCUUGACCUAACCCAAAGAAAAAGCACCGGCUAACUCUGUGCCAGCAGCCGCGGUAAUACAGAGGGUGCGAGCGUUAAUCGGAAUUACUGGGCGUAAAGCGUGCGUAGACGGUUAGAUAAGUCGGGUGUGAAAGCCCCGGGCUCAACCUGGGAAUUGCAUUCGAGACUGUUUAGCUAGGGUACGGAAGAGGGAAGCGGAAUUUCAGGUGUAGCGGUGAAAUGCGUAGAUAUCUGAAGGAACACCAGUGGCGAAAGCGGCUUCCUGGUCCAGUACCGACGUUCAGGCACGAAAGCGUGGGGAGCAAACAGGAUUAGAUACCCUGGUAGUCCACGCCAUAAACGAUGAGAACUAGACGUUGGGGGGGUAAGCCUCUCAGUGUCGCAGCUAACGCGCUAAGUUCUCCGCCUGGGGAGUACGGCCGCAAGGUUG
rnacentral:rRNA from 1 species